CAAUAGCGUAUAUUAAAGUUGUUGCGGUUAAAACGCUCGUAGUCGAAAUUCAAUCAUGGCUGGCGGACGCGUCAUUUUGGCAUAUCUGCAACGUCAUGGUUUGUCUCGUUAGAGAAAAUUACUUUGAGGAAAUUAGAGUGUUUAAAGCAAGCGUAUGCUUUGAAUAUCGCAGCAUGGAAUAAUAAUAUAAGACUUUGGUUAUAUUUUGUUGGUUAAUAUAUCUAAGGUAAUGAUUAAUGGAAACAGUCGGGGGCAUUCGUAUUUAACUGUGGUGGAAUUCUUGGAUUUGUUAAGGACGAACAACUGCGAAAGCAUUUGCCAAGUAUGUUUUCAUUGA
rnacentral:rRNA from 1 species